ensembl:snoRNA Gm23748 small nucleolar RNA SNORA17
ACUGCCCCAAGUGGCAGUGAAAUAAGGCUGCUGUGUCACAUGUGUGUCAGUAGGUGGCAGAGAGGAGAGAGGUUAUGUCUACCCUCAGUGUUCUGACUUUCGAACAUCUGAAUUAUUAGCAGCCUAACAUU